rnacentral:rRNA from 1 species
AUUGAACGCUGGCGGCAUGCUUUACACAUGCAAGUCGAACGGUAACAGGUUAAGCUGACGAGUGGCGAACGGGUGAGUAAUGCAUCGGAACGUGCCCGAUCGUGGGGGAUAACGCAGCGAAAGCUGCGCUAAUACCGCAUACGAUCUGAGGAUGAAAGCGGGGGACCGUAAGGCCUCGCGCGAUCGGAGCGGCCGAUGUCAGAUUAGGUAGUUGGUGGGGUAAAGGCUCACCAAGCCAACGAUCUGUAGCUGGUCUGAGAGGACGACCCGCCACACUGGGACUGAGACACGGCCCAGACUCCUGCGGGAGGCAGCAGUGGGAAUUUUGGACAAUGGGCGAAAGCCUGAUCCAGCAAUGCCGCGUGCAGGAAGAAGGCCUUCGGGUUGUAAACUGCUUUUGUACGGAGCGAAAAGGCCCUCUCUAAUACAGUGGGCUCAUGACGGUACCGUAAGAAUAAGCACCGGCUAACUACGUGCCAGCCGCCGCAGUAAGAC